rnacentral:tRNA from 1 species
GGCCAGGUAGCUCAGUUUGUUAGAGCUUUGUCCUGAUAUGCCAAGGUUGCGGGUUCAAUCCCCGGUCAGGACA